AGCUCCAAUAGCGUAUAUUUUAGUUGUUGCAGUUAAAAAGCUCGUAGUAGAAUUUCUGGUGGGGGAAUGCAGUUCAAGCUAUGCUUGAUACUCGCACUCUCCGGCCAUCUUUGAGUGGAGCCUGUCUGGCAUUAAGUUGUCGGGCUGGGGAUGCUCAUCGUUUACUGUGAAAAAAUUAGAGUGUUCAAAGCAGACUUAUGUCGUUGAAUAUAUUAGCAUGGGAUAAUAAGAUAAGACUUCGGUACUAUUUUGUUGGUUAGGUGCCGUUGUAAUGAUGAACAGGGACAGUUGUGGGUAUUCGUAUUCACUUGUAAGAGGUGAAAUUCUUAGAUUAAGGGAAGACGAACUACUGCGAAAGCAUUUACCAAGGAUGUUUUCA
rnacentral:rRNA from 1 species